rnacentral:rRNA from 1 species
AAUCAACGCUGGCGGCGUGCCUAACACAUGCAAGUCGAACGCGAAAGGGGCUUCGGCCCUGAGUAGAGUGGCGAACGGGUGAGUAACACGUGGGUGACCUACCUCCGAGUGGGGGAUAACGUUCCGAAAGGAGCGCUAAUACCGCAUGACGUUCCGGGGUUGAAGACCCGGUAACCAAAGCUGGGGACCGCAAGGCCUGGCGCUUGGAGAGGGGCCCGCGGCUGAUUAGCUAGUUGGUGGGGUAACGGCCUACCAAGGCGACGAUCAGUAGCCGGCC